AAACUCCUGACCUCAUGAUUCACCCGCCUCGGCCUCCCAAAGUUCUAGAAUUACAGGUGUGAGCCACUGUGCCUGGCCAGGACUCUUAAAUUUUUAAAAUGACCGUUUUCUUUUUUUGGACACAACUACAGCAAGAAAUAAUACAGAUCUUCAAGUUGGCAACUCAUUCAAUAUCUCCUACAGAAGGUCAGGAACCUAGAAACUGUGUUCCUUCAGGGUGCAAACCCAUGUGUUCCUUAACAGCAGAAAAAGGUCAGUGGGCAAGACCAGAACAAAUUAGAUAUGAUUUGUUUUUUAAGUUGAGGCUUAGCCAGAAGGGUUUGUAUGGACCUCUUAGAUUAAGGUUUGUUUCACAGUGGGGAUAAUGUUUGCUAUGUCAAUAAACAGGUACUUUUCUUUCAUCAUUCUCCAAAUUUGGUUCUUAAUGAGAUCUGACAUCCCCUCUUCCAUUAGAAGGUAUUGAAAUCCAGUGGACCAGUUUCUCCAAGAUGUCUCUUGAAAGUAAAACUCUGCUUAAAAUCUGUUUUUUCCAGGGCUCUAAUCACUACUCUGUUAAAUUCCUCAAACUUGUAAUGCCCCAAGGCUUGAUUUUUUCCAGAUAAUGGCUCUAUCGUUGCACAUACCCUGAUUCUGUCAGCAUGUGUCAUUGGCAAAAUAGCUUUCUCUGCCAAAGCUUUCUGACCUUUGGCUCCAUCUUAGCUUUGUUAGCAGGAAAGGCCUGCUACCCAGAGUCAGAGUCAAUCAGAGAAUUGUUCAUGUGGUCCUUAGAACUUUACUCCUUACCCUUUUAUCUUUUCUUUAAACUUUCGCCUCUAAAUCUGCCAGGGAAAUUGUGACUUAUAGAAACCUUGUCAACUUGUUUGGGUCAAAAGUUAGAUCCUGUUUUAGAAACUCUGCAAAGAGUGAGAUUCAUGGCAUCAUUGUUCGCCAACUUCUUUGUUCCUUUCAUCCAGAAGAAAGGUCAGCUCAUUACGUAAGAAACUUUUCAUCAGGAAAAGCAAACAACCGAUAAAAAACAGAAACUAAGUAUUCUGCAAGGAAACCUGGUUUAAGGAGAAUGUAUUGAAACUGGAUAUGUCUGUUCCUUUUUACUCCUCCCUUUGGCAUUUCCUUUUUUUUUCUGUAAGAUAAUCAUAGAAAUUUAGUUAAUGGAGGAACUACAAAGAUCACAUGGCUUUAUGGUUUGCCUAUUAUGCUGGCCAAUCCCGGUGGCACGAGGGCAGCAGGGAUGCAGACAGAUGAAGAGGUCCCAUAGCCAAGAGUGUAGGUCCUGGAGCCAGACUGCCCACAUUCACUUCAAGCAAUUGGUACUCCUGUAUUAGAAGAAAACAAAGUCCCUUCUCAUCUCCUCACCCAGUAUACUCCUCUUUUUACUCAGCUUGAUAGGAAUCUUUCCAGUCCUCUCUGCAUUUAUAUGUAUACAUCAUUCGUAUUCGUGACCCUAAUAAUGAUACCCAGUCAGCUCACACCAGCAAGAAAAAGUAUUUUUCAAGCCCUCUGGAAGCAUUGGAAGCUCCAAGUGAGCAUAAGUGAAAAUACCCUAAGAGAUACUUCCAGGUUCUAGAUCCAGGUGUUUCAUUUUCCCCUUGUUUUCCCACUACAUUGUCAUCUCUC
rnacentral:lncRNA from 10 species